UUUCAUAACUUUAUUGAUUUUUUUUGUACAGUGUAAAGGAUGGAUGUACCAUAGUCAAAUAGUUAAAGGGGAAAUCCGCAGUUAAACCAAUAACAAAGUGUAAACCCCACUAUCUUCCUGAGGCUAUACAGGAUGACCAUCUAUGAUAUCAACAUUAUAGUUUAAACUAUGUUUCUGAGACUAUACAGGAUGACCAUCCAUCAUAUCAACAUUAUAGUUUAAACUAUGUUCCUGAGACUAUACAGGAUGACCAUCCAUCAUAUCAACAUUAUAGUUUAAACUAUGUUCCUGAGACUAUACAGGAUGACCAUCCAUCAUAUCAACAUUAUAGUUUAAACUAUGUUUCUGAGACUAUACAGGAUGACCAUCCAUGAUAUCAACAUUAUAGUUUAAACUAUGUUUCUGAGACUAUACAGGAUGACCAUCUAUGAUAUCAACAUUGUAUUGAAAACUAUGUUUUAUGUUGUUUACAAACAAUGGAAUAAAACUAGUUCAUAUGUUGGGUUUUGAUGGAAAAGGACAGUUGAAUUAAGCUCAUGAGGCAUUUGUAAGUCAUAUUCUUCAAGAA